CUCUUCGAUGUUCUGGGCUGCACGCGCGCUACAGUGGCAAAGACAGAGAGCAUGAAUUAAUUAUAGAGUCGCAUCGAGGGAUGUGACGAAUCAGCAAUCGUUGCCGUGAUUGGGAUUGAGCGUUGUAAUAUUUGCUCAUGAAAGAGGAAUUCCUCGUAAGCGCGAGUCACUAACUCGUGUUAAUUACGUCUCUGCCCUUUGUACACACCGCCCGUCGCUACUACCGAUUGAACUGGUUUUUGAAGUGUAGAGAUUGGCAGGCAUGGUUUACGUGCAUUGCAAAGAACCACUCUGAAAAAAUCGUUCGAGAAGAAGUAAAAGUCGUAACA
rnacentral:rRNA from 1 species